UUCCCAAAUGGGUUGGAAGUUCUUCAAAUAACAGCUACUGAUGAAGAUGAGGGAGGCUUCCAGGGAACAUUCAGUCUCACUCCAGAUGACAGUCCCUUCCAGCUGAGUCCAGCUGGAAUCCUAACUGUGAGGAACUCCACGCUGCUGGACAGGGAGAGAGUGCCCUCUAUUCAUCUACAGGUAUUAAAAACAAGCCUGCUUCUCUCCAAGGUAACCUGAGGCCAACAGGUGAGACCUGAUCUGUCCUGGCAGGAGGCCGAACCUUGAGUAGGGACAGCAGCUUAAUUGAAGAAACAAACCAAGAGUUUGAGAGCAAUGUUAUCUGGAGGGAAAUACCAUUGCUGAUACAACUUCCUCAGCUUGUAAUUCUUAUUUAACCUUUUUUCUACCUCCACAACACUCCUUUGAACAACACAGUCUUCUCAUUCAUCGUUUUUGCAGGUCACUGCUAGAGAUCAUUUGCCACCUCACCAAACGGUGAACUCUUCUAUCAACAUAGUGCUGCUGGAUGAAAAUGACAACAGCCCAACCUUUAGAGACGCACCAUACAGACAAGAUAUUUUCCUCAAUAUGACUGUAGGAAUGGCCAUUCUUCAGGUUGCUGCUGCUGAUGCAGAU